rnacentral:rRNA from 1 species
AGCCGGCCGCGGAGGUGGUUUUCCGUGGUCAAGCGUUCGAGCCCGUCCCGCAGGCAAAUCCGCGGGGCGUCGGGGCGAGGCGUGAUGAUGGGGGCCUUACGGCCCGAAUCCGGUGAUCCGUGGUGCCGAGAAAAGCUUCGGCGUCAGGCGCGUUGCCGCCCGUACCCCAAACCGACACUGGUGGUCAGGUAGAGAAUACCAAAGCGAUCGAGCGAAUCCUGGUCAAGGAACUCGGCAAAUUGCUCCCGUGCCUUCGGCAUAAGGGAGACCCCCUGCGGUGAUGAGCGGCGGGGGGUGGCACAGGCCAGGGGGUAGCGACUGUUUACCAAAAACACAGGAGCGUGCGAAGGCGCAAGCUGCUGUAUACGCUCUGACGCCUGCCCGGUGCCGGAAGGUUAAGAGGAUCCGUCAGCUUCUGCGAAGCGGUGAAUUCAAGCCCCGGUAAACGGCGGUGGUAACAAUAACCAUCCUAAGGUAGCGAAAUUCCUUGUCGGGUAAGUUCCGACCUGCACGAAUGGCGUAACGACUUCCCCACUGUCUCGACCAGGAGCUCGGCGAAAUUGCAGUACGAGUAAAGAUGCUCGUUAAGCGCAGAAGGACGAAAAGACCCCGGGACCUUUACUAUACCUUGGUAUUGGCAUUAGGCGCGGAUUGUGUAGCAUAGGCGGGAGGCUUCGAGGCGGGUGCGCCAGCAUCCGCGGAGCCGCAAGGUGAAAUACCGCUCUGUUCUCGUUUGAUGUCUAACCUCGAACAGUCAUCCUGUUCAGGGACAGUGCCUGGCGGGUAGUUCAACUGGGGCGGUUGCCUCCCAAAGAGUAACGGAGGCGCUCAAAGGUCCGCUCGGCCCGGUUGGCAAUCGGGUGUCGAGUGUAAUCGCACAAGCGGGCUUGACUGCGAGAUCGACAGAUCGAGCAGGGACGAAAGUCGGAGAUAGUGAUCCGGUGCCGGCGCACGGGCGCGGCAUCGCUCAACGGAUAAAAGGUACCCCGGGGAUAACAGGCUGAUCAUUCCCAAGAGUCCAUAUCGACGGGAUGGUUUGGCACCUCGAUGUCGGCUCGUCGCAUCCUGGGGCUGGAGCAGGUCCCAAGGGUUCGGCUGUUCGCCGAUCAAAGCGGCACGCGAGCUGGGUUCAGAACGUCGUGAGACAGUUUGGUCUCUAUCCUCUGCGCUCGUUGGAAUCUUGAGGAGGCCUGCCCAUAGUACGAGAGGACCUGGGUGGACGAACCUCUGGUAUGCCGGUCGUCACGCCAGUGGCGCGGCCGGUUGGCUACGUUCGGAAGGGAUAACCGCUGAAAGCAUCUAAGCGGGAAGCCUUCUCCAAGAUAAGGAUUCCAUGCGGCCCCGAGCCGCUGAAGACCCCAUGCAGAACACGUGGUCGAUAGGCCGGACGUGGAAGCCCCGCGAGGGGUGGAGCCGACCGGUACUAAUGGUCGAGAGGC